rnacentral:rRNA from 1 species
CACGUAGGGGGCAAGCGUUGUCCGGAUUUAUUGGGCGUAAAGAGCUCGUAGGCUGUUCGAUAAGUCGGGUGUGAAACCUCCAGGCUCAACCUGGAGACGCCACCCGAUACUGUCAUGACCAGAGUCCGGUAGGGGAGCGUGGAAUUCCUGGUGUAGCGGUGAAAUGCGCAGAUAUCAGGAGGAACACCGGUGGCGAAGGCGGAUCUCUGGGCCAUUACUGACGCUGAGGAGCGAAAGCGUGGGGAGCGAACAGG